GUUUUUCGCCUGAGGAUGAGCCUAUGUGGGAUUAGCUAGUUGGUGAGGUAAUGGCUCACCAAGGCGACGAUCCCUAACUGGUCUUAGAGGAUGAUCAGUCACACUGGAGCUGAGACACGGUCCAGACUCCUACGGGAGGCAGCAGUAGGGAAUAUUGCACAAUGGAGGAAACUCUGAUGCAGCGACGCCGCGUGAGUGAUGAAGGCCUUCGGGUCGUAAAGCUCUGUCGUAUGGGACUAACAAAAUG
rnacentral:rRNA from 1 species